rnacentral:rRNA from 1 species
AAUCAACGCUGGCGGCGUGCCUAACACAUGCAAGUCGAACGCGAAAGCCCCUUCGGGGGCAAGUAGAGUGGCGUCCGGGUGAGUAACACGUGGGUAAUCUACCUCCGGGUGGGGAAUAACUCGCCGAAAGGUGGGCUAAUACCGCAUAAUGCAGCGGCACCGAAUGGUGAUUAGUUGUUAAAGCGGGGGACCUUAGGGCCUCGCGUCUGGAGAGGAGCCUGCGGCAGAUUAGCUUGUUGGUAGGGAAUGGCCUACCAAGGCUGCGAUCUGUAGCUGGUCUGAGAGGACGGCCAGCCACACUGGCACUGACACACGGGCCAGACUCCUACGGGAGGCAGCAGUGGGAAUUUUGGGCAAUGGGCGAAAGCCUGACCCAGCAACGCCGCGUGAAGGAGGAAAUCCUUCGGGAUGUAAACUUCACAAGCAAGGGAAGAGCGCGCAGGGUCGAAUAAACUCUGCGUCCGACGGUACCUUGCGUAAGCCACGGCUAACUACGUGCCAGCCGCCGCA